GCUCUUCCGAUCUGGCGUAUGGGGGAUGCCUAGGCUCUUGGAGGCUAAGAAGGACGUGGUAAGCUGCGAAAAGUUGCGGGGAUUUGCAAACGAGACUCGAUCCGCAGAUAUCCGAAUGGGACAACCCGGCAGGUAGAAGACCUGUCACACCGCGAGGUGAGCUAACCCUCUGAACUGAAACAUCUAAGUAGGAGGAGGAAAAGAAAGAAACAUCGAUUUCCAAAGUAGCGGCGAGCGAAAUGGAAGAAGCCCAAACCGAUAUUGUUACGGCAAUAUCGGGGUUGUAGGACUGCAAUAUUCAAUUAACAAUGAACUGGAAUGGUCUGGAAAGUCCAUCCAUAGAGAGUGAAAGGCUCGUACAGGUAAGUUUGUUAUGCGAAAGCAGUAUCCUGAGUAUGGCGGGACACGAGGAAUCCUGUCAGAAUCAGCCGGGACCACCCGGUAAGGCUAAAUACUCCCAAGAGACCGAUAGUGGACCAGUACUGUGAAGGAAAGGUGAAAAGAACCCCGAACAGGGGAGUGAAAUAGAACCUGAAACCAUACGCUUACAACCGGUCGGAGCAGCUUCGUGCUGUGACGGCGUGCCUAUUGAAUAAUGAGCCUACGAGUUACUAAUCACUAGCGAGGUUAAGUGCAAGGAUGCACGGAGCCGAAGCGAAAGCGAGUCUGAACAGGGCGUUUAGUUAGUGGUUGUAGACGCGAAACCUUGCGAUCUACCCUUGAGCAGGUUGAAGGUUGGGUAAAACCAACUGGAGGACCGAACGAAUAAGCGUUGAAAAGCUUCUCGAUGACUUGAGGGUAGGGGUGAAAGGCUAAUCAAGCUGGGAAAUAGCUCGUACUCCCCGAAAUGCCUUUUGGGGCAGCGUUGUAAUAAAGAGUCUACUGGAGGUAGAGCUACUGAUUGGAUGCGGGGGCUUCACCGCCUACCAAAUCCUGACAAACUCCGAAUGCCAGUAGUAUGAUUUACAGCAGUGAGUGACUGGGUGCUAAUGUCCAGUCGCAAAAGAGGAACAACUCAGACCAGCAACUAAGGUCCCGAAGAAUAUGCUAAGUUGAUCUAACGAUGUUUUGUUGCAGAGACAGCUAGGAUGUUAGCUUGGAAGCAGCUAUUCAUUCAAAGAGUGCGUAACAGCUCACUAGUCGAGCGACAGAGCGUGGAUAAUAAACGGGCAUCAAGCAUAUCACCGAAGUUCUGGGCGCGAGAGCGCGGUAGGGGAGCAUUCCAUUCAGCGUCGAAGCAGUUUCGUGAGGAAUUGUGGAGCGUAUGGAAAAGCAAAUGUAGGCAUGAGUAACGAUAAUGCGGGAGAGUAACCCGCACACCGCAAGACCAAGGUUUCCUGAUCAACGCUAAUCGGAUCAGGGUUAGUCGGGUCCUAAGGGUAAGCCGAACGGUGAUCUCGAUGGACAAUCGGUUAAUAUUCCGAUACUAACAUAUACCUCGAUGGAGAGACGAAGGAACGUAAGUGCCGCCACCUGACGGAAUAGGUGGUUAAAGGGCGUAGGUAUAGGGGCAGAUUAAGAGUUAGUCCUUGCUGAAACCUGACAGUACAGAGAGCCUACGGGCAAUUUGAUAGAGCACCCAAGUCGACUUCCGAGAAAAUCUUCUAAGUUAUAGUAUAUGUUACCCGUACCGUAAACCGACACAGGUGGUCGAGGAGAGUAUCCUAAGGUGCUCGAGUGAAUCACGGUUAAGGAACUAGGCAAAUUAACCCCGUAACUUCGGGAAAAGGGGUCCCUAUGAAAGUAGGGCGCAGCGAAGAGGUCCAGGCGACUGUUUAUCAAAAACACAGGGCUCUGCAAAUUCGAAAGAAGAAGUAUAGGGCCUGACACCUGCCCGGUGCUGGAAGGUUAAGAGGGGAUGUCAUCGCAAGAGAAGCAUUGAAUCGAAGCCCCAGUAAACGGCGGCCGUAACAAUAACGGUCCUAAGGUAGCGAAAUUCCUUGUCGGGUAAGUUCCGACCUGCACGAA
rnacentral:rRNA from 1 species